rnacentral:rRNA from 1 species
CCGUGCCAGCAGCCGCGGUAAUACGGAGGGGGUUAGCGUUGUUCGGAAUUACUGGGCGUAAAGCGCGCGUAGGCGGAUUAGUCAGUUAGAGGUGAAAUCCCGGGGCUCAACCCCGGAACUGCCUUUAAUACUGCUAGUCUUGAGUUCGAGAGAGGUGAGUGGAAUUCCGAGUGUAGAGGUGAAAUUCGUAGAUAUUCGGAGGAACACCAGUGGCGAAGGCGGCUCACUGGCUCGAUACUGACGCUGAGGUGCGAAAGUGUGGGGAGCAAACAGGAUUAGAUACCCUGGUAGUCCACACCGUAAACGAUGAAUGCCAGUCGUCGGGUAGCAUGCUAUUCGGUGACACACCUAACGGAUUAAGCAUUCCGCCUGGGGAGUACGGUCGCAAGAUUAAAACUCAAAGGAAUUGACGGGG